rnacentral:siRNA from 1 species
CGUUUUCCUCUCCGAUUUCACUC